rnacentral:rRNA from 1 species
CAGCAGCCGCGGUAAGACGGAGGGUGCUAGCGUUGUUCGGAAUCACUGGGCGUAAAGGGCGCGUAGGCGGCCUGUUAAGUCGGAUGUGAAAGCCCGGGGCUCAACCCCGGAACUGCAUCCGAGACUGGCAGGCUUGAGACCGGGAGAGGAGGGUGGAAUAUCCAGUGUAGAGGUGAAAUUCGUAGAUAUUGGAUGGAACACCGGUGGCGAAAGCGGCUCUCUGGCCCGGAUCUGACGCUGAGGCGCGAAAGCGUGGGGAGCAAACAGGAUUAGAUACCCGGUAGUCCCUGUCUCUUAUAUA